rnacentral:misc_RNA from 1 species
AACGCACGAGACCUGCGGACCUGCGGAGGGAUCAUUACAGAGUUACUACUCCAAACCCAUUGUGAACCUUACCCAUGUUCUGUUGCCUCGGCGGCGUGGUCAGCGCCCCUCUGAAAAGAGGACGAUGCCCUCCCGCCGGCAGCACCAAACUCUUUGAAUUUUACAGCGGAUUACAGUUCUGAUUUGAAAACAAAAAACAAGUUAAAACUUUCAACAAUGGAUCUCUAGAUCGGAAGAGCA